GUGCAUUAAGAUUUCCAAGGUACUUUCAGCCUGAUCUUUUCCUUGUUGUAGGUCUUUUGAGGUACAAUGAUCAUUGGACCACAGUCUUCUGCUUCCUGUUUUAUAACCACUAACAUCCACUUUAGAUAUAAUUUGGAAGAACACCGAAAUAUACUUAAAGAAGAAAGCAGCCACUGAAGUGAACCAUUUUGCAUUUGGCCAAGUUGAACAAGGAAAAGAAGCUUGGAGACCAGCUAUUCUCAGCCAUCAAGAAAAGUGCAGUG